rnacentral:tRNA from 1 species
AGCUCCGGGGUGUUAUCAUGUAAGAUUGCAAAUCUUAGGAAGCAAGCUAAAUCCUUGCCGGGGCUU